rfam:Campylobacter hominis ATCC BAA-381, complete genome.
CUCCGUGACUAUACAGAUAUGGAAACGCCUUGCUCCAUUUCGAACCAAGAAGCUAAGCAUAUCGUGGCUGAUGAUACUCUGUGUUACUCGCAGUUGGAAAGUAGGUCGUUGCGGAGU